rnacentral:tRNA from 2 species
GGCAUAGUUCAGUGGUAGAACGUCGGUCUCCAAAACCGAAUGUCGGGGGUUCGAGUCCUCUUGCC